UACGUAGGGCGCAAGCGUUAUCCGGAAUUAUUGGGCGUAAAGAGCUCGUAGGCGGUUUGUCGCGUCUGCCGUGAAAGUCCGGGGCUCAACUCCGGAUCUGCGGUGGGUACGGGCAGACUAGAGGUAUGCAGGGGAGAACGGAAUUCCUGGUGUAGCGGUGGAAUGCGCAGAUAUCAGGAGGAACACCGGUGGCGAAGGCGGGUCUCUGGGCCGAUACUGACGCUGAGGCGCGAAAGCUAGGGGAGCGAACGGG
rnacentral:rRNA from 1 species